rnacentral:rRNA from 1 species
CCUACGGGAUGCAGCAGUGGGGAAUAUUGGGCAAUGGGCGAAAGCCUGACCCAGCAACGCCGCGUGAAGGAAGAAGGCUUUCGGGUUGUAAACUUCUUUUGACAGGGAAGAGGAGAGUACGGUUCCUGUCGAAUUAGCCACGGCUAACUACGUUCCAGCAGCCGGGGUAAUACGUAGGUGGCAAGCGUUUUCCGGAUGUGCUGGGGGUAAAGGGCGUGUAGCCGGGCUGACAAGUCAGAUGUGAAAUCCGGGGGCUCAACCCCCGAACUGCCUCUGAAACUGUUGGGCUUGAGUAUCGGAGAGGCAGGUGGAAGUCCUAGUGUAGCGGUGAAAUGCGUAGAGAUUAGGAGGAACACCAGUGGCGAAGGCGGCCUGCUGGACGACAACUGACGGUGAGGCGCGAAAGCGUGGGGAGCAAACAGGAUUAGAUACCCGAGUAGUC